CAUUUUCCUUGACUGACUUAGUUCUAUAAGUAUCCAAAAUAGCCAUCAUAUCUGACCUGACCCGACCCGAUCCAGCGGACCCAAAUCUUUGGUUUGUUCAUCGCCUUGUGCCUGCAGUUCAAACUUCUCUUUCUUUCUGUCGUGUUUUUUAAGUUUGAUUCCGAAAAAAUAAAAUAAACCUUCUUUUCUUCUUCCAAGCCUUCACCUUUUUGAUCUCUUAUGCGACCCAAUUCCACGCCCCUUUCUUCCCCCAUGCCAUUUCUGAUCCCAUACUCACACGGGUCUUGCACCUUUUGCUCUCACGACCUUGGUUUCCGUGUCUGAUUCUACUCCCACGUGCCGGGGAAGUGCAAAGUUUUGUUCUUUAGCUCAAACUAGAAGUGGGUUUUCGCUGUGGCUUCUUCAAUCUCAACGUCAAAGCCAGCAUCAUAGGUUUUUGUUAACUCAACACUGAAACAGUUCAACAUGUAUGCUAAAUUAGAGACAGGGAUGGGUAAGCACAAAGAAGAGACUUGAAAUUUGUUUAAACAGCUGAAUCAUAGUGAAUAAAGUGUACGGAGAACCAAAAUUUGUACGCUUAGAAAGUGUUCCAAAGGUAAUCACUUUCCUUUUAAGUGAUUAUUAUAAAAACAUUUAUCAAUAAAUGAUCAAUAACUUAUCUCCCGAGUACCAAUCACACAAGGGUGCCAAUUACCAUAACAAUCCCCUGCAAUUGGGUAUGCCAAGUGGUGUCUGUGCUGUCAUUUUUUCCUCAAAUCAGCUUCCUGCAUAUAUUGAAGUCUCAGAUUAUUGAUGAAUACGAAAGUCAAAGAUGAUAUUUUGCAAAUUAUUAGCUGAAAAAGCACAAUGCCGAGCAAACUAUUGUCAUGACAAUGAAAGUCUUACAGGUAGCAUUGUUAGUUUUUUACAAGAGGGGAAGCAACUUCUAAUCAAGCAAACUAUACUUGAAAUCUUCCAAGGGCAAAAAAAUGUUCAAAUGUUGCAUUUACUAACUGUAUUGCAAAUGUUACAUUUACGGUACGUGUUGUCUCAUCAAUGCUUUGAAAGUAAACAUGUCUGCAACUCCUGUUCAUUAGUAAGCUUGCAAUCACAACCAAAAAUCCAAUAGCAUAGCCAAAUGCUAUGACAAAGUAAAACCAAAAUAUCUCUACUGUAUCCUCUUUGCCGCCUUUGUCUUCAUCUUCAUAGCCAUGUUUGAAAUCAUCAGUAGAACAUCCAUUUGGCAGAAGAGUUCCACAGAGAAAUGGGUUUCCGGUAUAAAUAAAAGCAUCAUCAAGGCUUGAUAAUUGAUUUCCUAUGCAAAUUGGUCCCGAAAGAUUGUAGGACAAAUUGAGUGGCUUAACGAAGUUAAACUUGAUAUGCUAACUGAAAUUGUGCCUUAAAGUUGGUCAUGAGAUAUGUUAGAGAUUCUAGGGAUUUCAUGUCUCCUAUCCUUAAUUUUAGGGAUAUGU